AGGACGAACGCUGGCGGCGUGCCUAACACAUGCAAGUCGAGCGAGGAGAUCCCUUCGGGGAUGAACCUAGCGGCGGACGGGUGAGUAACACGUGGGCAACCUGCCUUAUAGAGGGGAAUAGCCUUCCGAAAGGAAGAUUAAUACCGCAUAACAUUACAUUUUCGCAUGAAGAAGUAAUUAAAGGAGUAAUCCGCUAUAAGAUGGGCCCGCGGCGCAUUAGCUAGUUGGUGAGGUAACGGCUCACCAAGGCGACGAUGCGUAGCCGACCUGAGAGGGUGAUCGGCCACAUUGGGACUGAGACACGGCCCAGACUCCUACGGGAGGCAGCAGUGGGGAAUAUUGCACAAUGGGGGAAACCCUGAUGCCAGCAACGCCGCGUGAGUGAUGAAGGUCUUCGGAUCGUAAAGCUCUGUCUUCAGGGACGAUAAUGACGGUACCUGAGGAGGAAGCCACGGCUAACUACGUGCCAGCCGCCGC
rnacentral:rRNA from 1 species